UACGUAGGGUGCAAGCGUUGUCCGGAAUUAUUGGGCGUAAAGAGCUCGUAGGCGGUCUGUCACGUCGGCUGUGAAAACCUGGGGCUCAACUCCGGGCCUGCAGCCGAUACGGGCAGACUAGAGUUCGGCAGGGGAGACUGGAAUUCCUGGUGUAGCGGUGAAAUGCGUAGAUAUCGUAAGGAAGACCAGUGGCGAAGGCGGAUCUCUGGACAGUUACUGACACUGAGGCACGAAGGCCAGGGGAGCAAACGGG
rnacentral:rRNA from 1 species